GAUUUCUGGUAUGAUGCCCCUGACCCGCCUCGCAAGAGUGUGAGUGUCGGUGUGGUGUCUGCCAUCUUUGUGGGAACUUACUUCAGGCCUUUACUGGUUUGGGGUACUGGGUCCACAUCUUUUACUUUGAAAAAAUUAGAGUGUUUAAAGCAGGCUUUUGCUAUGAAUACGUUAGCAUGGAAUAAUAAGAUAGGACUUCGGUUCUAUUUUGUUGGUUUCUAGUACUGAAGUAAUGAUUGAUAGGGAUAGUUGGGGGUGCUAGUAUUCAGCGGCCAGAGGUGAAAUUCUUGGAUUCGCUGAAGACUAACUUAUGCGAAAGCAUUCACCAAGGAUGUCUUC
rnacentral:rRNA from 1 species